CACUUCUCUUGUGUUCUGCCAACCCUCGCGUGCUUUAUGACAGGACACAGCACGCGCGCGCGUUUUCUAUUUCUUCAUUGUAUAAAAUUAUUGUCUUGUAAACCUUUAUUGUAAAAAUGUAGAACUGUUAUGUAAACUCUAGGUGUGAAAUAUGGUUAAAUGAAACGAAAAUAAUUAUUCAUCAAAUAUUAGCAUGGAAUGACGAGUAGGUAUCGUUUUAGUUUUCCAUGACGACCGAGUGACUUCAUGAGUUUAUUGUUAGGCAAGUUGGGCAAAUGAUGGGGAGGACGAGCAGGAAAAGUUACAUUAAUUAUUCAUCAAUAAAAGGACUAGUACAUCAAUUGUUUAUUAAACCAUUACCAUAAAAUGACGAACAGAGUGUUUUGUCUUGUUAAACCAGUUGGGGCAAGUCUUUUGUUUGUCAAUCCAAUUUAUAGAGCGCGCGGAAUUUGAAUUUUUAACUCCAAAACUCAACCAAGUAAAACAAGCAAGAUGGCAAGUAUUCGCGUCRAUGAAGUCGAUAUGUUUGAAAGAAAUCGCUUGUACUUUUUGAUUUCCAGCAUAUUCCACUUGGUGUACGCUGAUGAAUGCGUGGAUCCCAUCUAUACCGAAAGACAGAGACAGUGUUAUGGUUGUGAAGUGAACCAUCCAAGCCAAAUACAACAUGUUAACCGAAGAAGAAUCUUGGAACUUAUUUUAUGAUCCAGCCAAGGACUUUGUCCAAGCAGAAGAAGUUUUGAGACAGGUCCUUGCUAUGAUACAUGAUGAAUAUUCCGCCUCAUUGCUACUGGAAAACCUAUCUACUAUCUACUACGCUGUCAACUUCUACAUUUUGAUAACGAACUCAGUACUGUUGAAAAAGCUCAUUCUGUUUGACAAAGUCAACGAAGUCAAAACUCACGUAGUUCCAAUACACUGUCCAGAAGAGUUUUUAAGGAAAGAAGUAAAACCUAUGGAUAUCGAUUAUUUGCAUAAGUGGACCAAGAAACGUAGAACUUAGUGAAGGAGACAGUGAAUUUAUGUGGAACAAUACCUGUGGAAAGAGGAUAAUCUCAGCAACGUUUGGUAUUCUCAAAGGAAACAUAGCUGACCCACAACUAAUAAAUGUGGAUAUCAUCAAUCGGAAGAUAUAUUUUAAUAAUGAAAUGGGACCAAAAUACAAAGGAAGAGUUAAUUUUACUGAAUUCACUGCAGUAAAGCCAUUCACGAAGAUCCUGAUUUAUUUCUUGGUGAUUCAAUCAGGUAUUUGGGAAAUGUUUAC